rnacentral:ncRNA from 1 species
GGCUGGGGCGGCACAUCUGCUCAAUUGUAACGUACAUGUCUUAAGGUCAGGUGAAGAAAACAGAAGCGACCAAACAGGGAAAAGCUUGCUGGAUUUUGAAAUCAGUACCAAUACAAACUGUGAAACCAUGGCCUAUCGAAUCCUUUGGUCUGAGACAUAUUCUGUUGG